GGAGAACCUAAGGUGGAGCCUAUGUCAGAACCAAGUUUGAACCUAUCCAACAAUCCAUCAAUAUAUCAGCAAAUCAUGAGUAGGCUGCCGCUUGGACCGCAGAUGUAAAUUUUUUUUUUUUCGGUNNCCUUUCUUCCUCUACAAAUGUUAAAUUUAUUAUUGGUAUUAUUAAUUCUACUUUUGUUGCAAGGAAAAUAGAAAUAUUUACUUGGUUAUAUAUAGAUUAACAUUUCAUUAGUUCGUCUUCCUCUUGAUGCCUUACUUUAAAUAUAAAAUUUUUUAUGUAAACAAAAAAAA
rnacentral:misc_RNA from 1 species